rnacentral:lncRNA from 1 species
CUCUAAUAAUCGCCUGGAUAGAAAUUUCCAUCUUAGCCCAAAGCAGCUCAACCUGGUUUUGACUAACGCCCCAUCUCCCUUUUUUUGUGUUCCUCUAAGUCAACAAGAGGACCUGGACGAGUCAGACCCUGUGUGGGAAGAUUGGAGAAAAGAAGGAAGGCAUACGUGACUUAAAGAAAAAAAGGUACAGAAGCAGCAAGGCUUCCCAAGAUCACUCCAGUCAUCAACACACAAUAAAACAACAUUCAUGUUCAAAAGGCAUAUAGAAGCAGAGUUGAGUGAAUCUAGCAUGUCAACUUGUCUCUAUGAACUGAAGAGUCAGGAAAAAUCCCCCUUCAAUGUCAAUGCAAAAGUAUCUGAAGACUUUAAAAUACCGGGCACACCAAAGCCAUUGGAAGAGGAAGAGGCAAACAACAAAAACCCCACCACCUGACAGUUCUGGUGAUGACGUGGACCAGCCAGGGCUCAAGUAUCUACUAAUGGAAGGCUAAGCAGGUGCAGCACCCUGGAGGACUGUUUGGUACUUUCUGCUGAACCUAAACAAAUGAAUACCCCAUCACCCAACAGUUUCUCUCCUACCUCAAACCCAAGGGAAAUGAACACAUGUGUGUUCCUGAUGCAUGCAAGAGUGCUCCAAGCAGCACUAUCUGUAAUGGUUCCCAACUAGAGACUGCUCAAAUGUCUAUUAUUGGAAGACUGGAUAAAGAUUGCAGUGUAGGUCAUAAUGAGUAAAUUGUGACAAACUACACUAUAGAAGAAUCUGAAUCUCACAAGCCAAAUACUGAACCUGGACACACACACACACACACA